UUGCCGCGCACCCCUGACUUG
rnacentral:piRNA from 1 species